AAAAAGGGCUUCUGUCAUGCGUGGCACACGUAGGGCAGCUUGAUUGCUUUAUGUGUGGAAUCGACAUCAAGAGAUUUUGGAAGCAUAAUUUUUUGGGAGCUGGGUGGCUGGUAAUCAUUGGUCCUGGUGCCCAU
ensembl:snRNA U11 spliceosomal RNA